GACGAACGCUGGCGGCGUGCUUAACACAUGCAAGUCGAACGGAAAGGCCUGCUUUCCCUUGUGGAUUGCGGGUACUCGAGUGGCGAACGGGUGAGUAACACGUGAGUGAUCUGCCCCCAACUUGGGUAUAAGCCUGGGAAACUGGGUCUAAUUCCCGAUAGGACUGCAGGGUGGUGCCUGUGGUGGAAAACGAUUUUCUAGUGGUUGGGGAUGAGCUCGCGGCCUAUCAGCUUGUUGGUGGGGUAAUGGCCUACCAAGGCGGCGACGGGUAGCCGGCCUGAGAGGGUGGACGGCCCCAUUGGGACUGAGAUACGGCCCCGACUCCUACGGGAGGCAGCAGUGGGGAAUAUUGCACCAUGGGCGGAAGCCUGAUGCAGCGACGCCGCGUGGGGGAUGACGGCCUUCGGGUUGUAACCUCCUUUCGACCGCGAGGAAGCCACCUGGUUGGAAGGGUGGUGACGGUAGUGGUAGAAGAAGCACCGGCUAACUACGUG
rnacentral:rRNA from 1 species